UACAGAGGGUGCAAGCGUUAAUCGGAAUUACUGGGCGUAAAGCGCAUGUAGGCGGCCAGGUAGGUCCGUUGUGAAAACUCGAGGCUCAACCUCGAGACGCCGAUGGAAACCCCCUGGCUAGAGUCCGGAAGAGGAGAGUGGAAUUCCUGGUGUAGCGGUGAAAUGCGCAGAUAUCAGGAAGAACACCCGUGGCUAAGGCGGCUCUCUAGUACGGUACUGACGCUGAGACGCGAAAGCGUGGGGAGCGAACAGG
rnacentral:rRNA from 1 species